UACGGAGGGCGCAAGCGUUGUUCGGAAUCACUGGGCGUAAAGCGCGUGUAGGCGGCUUGGCAAGUCGGAUGUGAAAGCCCGAGGCUCAACCUCGGAACUGCACUCGAAACUGCCUGGCUCGAGUCCCGGAGAGGGUGGCGGAAUUCCCGGUGUAGAGGUGAAAUUCGUAGAUAUCGGGAGGAACACCAGCGGCGAAGGCGGCUUCCUGGUCCAUUACUGACGUUCAGGCACGAAAGCGUGGGUAGCAAACAGG
rnacentral:rRNA from 1 species